rnacentral:rRNA from 1 species
GACGAACGCUGGCGGCGUGCUUAACACAUGCAAGUCGAACGGGCUUCUGGGGUUCUGGCUUUUUUGGUUGGGGUUCUGGGGGUUAGUGGCGAACGGGUGAGUAACACGUGAGUAACCUGCCCUUCACUUCUGGAUAACCGCUUGAAAGGGUGGCUAAUACGGGAUGUUUCUGGGUCUGUCGCAUGGCGGGUUCGGGAAAGAUGGCACUGUUUGGUGUUUUUGGUGGGGGAUGGGCUCGCGGCCUAUCAGCUUGUUGGUGGGGUGAUGGCCUGCCAAGGCUUGGGCGGUUGGCCGGCCUGGGGGGGGGGGGGGUCACAUGUGGACUGGUACCCGGCCCGGGCUCGCACGGGGGGGAGCAGUGGGGAAUAUUGCACAAUGGGGGGAAGCCUGAUGCGGCGGGGUCGCGUGGGGGGUGGGGGCCUUCGGGUUGUGAACCUCUUUCGCCAGUGGGGAGGGCCUUGCCCGUGGGGGGGGUUUGACGGUAGGGGGGUUAAUUGGAGCGCCGGCUAACUACGU